CCGGGUGCUGCUGCAGCGUCAGCGGCUCCAGUGGCUGGCCUGCUACAGAUGCACCCGGCACAGCAGCUCUGGUUCCUCUGAGGUCCUGUGGCCAAAGGCAGGAAGAGAAAAGUCAAGGUUAGAGGCUUGCUGAUGGGUGCAGCUGGGAACAUGUUGAAUUUGAUGUGUCUGUGGAUAUUUGAGUCUGGAACUUCGAAGAUGAGUUUGGUCUGGAGAUGUGGUCUGGGGAUAUCUCAGCACACAGAUGAGCACUGAAAUGAUGGAGAGGAUGAUAUCACCUGAGACAGUGUCUUACUUUGUUGCCAAAGCUGGCUUCAAACUCCUGACUUCAAGAGAUUUCCCCGACCCCACCCUUUCAAAGUGCUGGGAUUACAGGUGUGAGCCACUGUGCCUAGCAGGUCAUCAGUCUUUGGGAUGCUGUUGACAAAGCCAUCUGAUGAUAUCAAAGAGGGAAUGAAGCCUCAGGUUUUCAGGCAGAAUUCUCCACAGGUUUUAGCAUCCAGUGAAGAAUCACCUGUUUAUAACCUUUGUAAAGUCAAUGAUGCUUCUUGGAAACAAGUCCAUUCUCAUAUACAUCAUGACGUUGCACGGCUGAGUCAUUUGUCAGAGUGCUCUGGCUUCAAAUAUACCUUCAAGUCUUAGACACAUGACCUUCUCAGGUGCAGGAAUCAGCAAUUCUAAAAGUCACAGGUCUUCCAUCCAAGGUCCUAGUUGCCUUCUAUAUCCUGUUCUAAUAAACAUACCUCCAAAUCUUAGUUGCUUAACCCCAUAUACGUUUAUUUGCUGAGGACAUCAAGGCGAAACUAUGGUCCGUGAACCAGCAGCAUUGGCAUUACUUGGGAACUUGUUAGAAUUCAGAAUCUCAGACCCACCCCAGACCUACUGAAUUAGAAUUACAGUUUAACAAUAUCUCCAAGUGGUGUGUAAGCACAUUAAAAUUGGGGAAGCACUGCCCUAGAUUACCAAUGUAUCCUUGAUGGUUCUCAUUGCAGAGGGAUAAAAAGAAAUCAGAUACAAUGCAAUAGAAAUAGGAAAAAACAA